rnacentral:piRNA from 1 species
UGCUGAAAGAGAAGGAAAGCAACAUUCUCCA